UGUCCACCCCGGGUCCCCUCCCCUUUCUGCCGCUGGCGUCUAGGGAGAGAGACGGGCUGUUGUUAACUGAGCCUGAUUUUGGGGCUCAUUUGAAGUCCCCUCUGGCAGAGUGGAGCCCUUGGAGAGGAUGGGUGGUUGCUGACUCGAGACUGGCCUUAUUCAUACGAUGCAUGGUCCUCGGUCUCCUGGUAGCAAGACGUAGGGGCUGCCUCUACAAAGUCUUGGGUUCGAGCUGAUAUCAGUUGCUGUGAAAGCUGUGAUUGUUGUGUGGUGGCAUCUCAUCAUACAUGCAAGUCACCGUGUAUGAACGUGAUUCAGAUCCCCUUAGGAGAGAAUAGUACUUUAGUAGAGGGGAGGGGCUUUAAAGGUAGUGAGCCCAGUUAUUUGUCGUAAACAAAUAACAAUGCAGGAGAAUGACGGUAAUGGUCAUUGUGUGUGCGUGCAUUUGGAGGUUUAAAGCGUAAUUUGAGCCUGAUGGGUCUCAGAAUCUGUUGAUCAUCAAGGUGGAAACUAUGGGAAGUAAUAACAGACAUCAGGUGUAAAGGGUCUGUUUCCCACCAGGAGUCUGCAGUAAGGUAUCUGAAGUAACUGUUGUAACUUUUGUGGACUCAUCAAGGAGGCAGUAUUUGCUAUUCGUGAGCCAAAAUGCUUGGUAGAAGACCCAAGAAAAACCCACAACAGAAGGGUCAGGGAGCUGCUGCUGCAAAGCAGCUGGGACUUUUCCUAGAGUUCAAUCCUGAAGAGAUAAUGCGAGAAAUGGAGGAUGAUGGGGAUGAUGGGGAUCUAGAAGCAGAACUGGCAGCUAUCACAGGAGAGAACACGUCAGCUGGGAAGAUAAAGCCUAAAGGAAAGACUCCUCUGCCUAUGGAUCAUAUUGCAAAGAUGGCUGCAGAUUGUAUGAAGGACUUGGAUGAUGAUGAUGAUGAAGAAGAAGAAGAUGGUGAUGAGCUAGAGGAAGACAAUGAUCUUUUGGCAGAGUUGCAGGAGGUUCUAGGAGAGGGACCAGGAGGAAGCUCUGAACUUGGCACAGAAACGAUAGAUGUGUCUCCUGUGGCCACAGAUCAGCUUCCUGAACCACAGACACAGAUGUCUUCUGCUUCCAGUGAACUACAGCGAACAAUAGAAGAAAGGAUAACUAACUAUAAGAUAGCAAUAAUCAAUGGAAAGAAGGCAGGGGAGAGUGCCAAAGUGCGACGAUAUGAACGAGGCCUUAAGACUUUGGAAAUGAUGCUGACUGCUGUGAAGAAGGGCAAAAAGGUGAAUGAGGAAGAGAUGCCACCACCAGUAGCAUCAGGGAAGAGCUUUGCAGGCAUGCCACAAACCAUGUGUGAUUUGUCUAAACAAAGCUCAGAUGAUCAAGAUAAAGGAACAGUUCCUGAGGAGAAGGAACAGAGGGAACAAAUCUCUGCUGCAGACCAUGAAUUAAAGAACCCCAGCGAUACAGAAUUGCCUAUGAGCAAAACUGCCCUCCAGGGCCAGGAUGCAAAUGGAAGUGCUACAGGAACAAGCAUCACUUUUGAAAACAAUUCCCCAAACUUUUGUAUGAAAGCACUACUUGUGACAAGAGAGAAGGAAUAUAAGUUAGCCGCUCUGAAAGCCAAACAGGAAGGUGAUCUUGAGAAGGCUAAAGAAUAUAUGAGAACUGGUAAGAAAUUUAGCAUGGUUCUAGAAGCAUUGGACAGCGGACAGCCAAUAGAUCUUAAGGAUAUGCCUCCAUCUCCACUUGACCUUGAAAGUCCAGAAAAAAUGUGCAUUCCCCCUAAACCAGUGCCAUCUGCACCUGAGGAAACUUCCCAGCCACUGACAGCACAAGAGCUCCAAAGUAAGGCAGCUUUGGGUUCUGUGCAGCAGCCAAAAACAGUACUAGAAGCUUUGGAGCAGAGGCUGGAAAAAUACAAAACAGCAGCAGCUCAAGCCAAAGCAAGUGGAGCUGACCGAAAAAGCAGGAUGCACGAGAGAAUAGCUAAGCAAUACCAAGAUGCCAUAAGAGCCCAUAAAGCAGGAAGAAAAGUAAAUUUUGCUGAACUACCCGUUCCUCCUGGAUUUCCUCCAAUUCCUGGAGUGGUUUCUGAGGAUGACAAUACAGUGGCUUCAGUGCUGGAAAGUGCAAGUAGGCUGGUUAAAAUGGAGGAGGAAGAGGACAAAGAGGAUGAUAAGGGUGAACUUUCCACACCAGAUCCAGCUUCCAUGAAACCCUCUCAGGUGCCCAAGAAACCAGUACUAGUUGUUCAGCCACUAAUGGUACCAUCUGCUGUAAUUCAGGAAGAAACCUUUCAGGAGAAAGAUAGUUCUCAACCAUCUCCUAUAACAGCACCAGAGAAAUCUGCAUCCAUUGAGCAUCUCGCUCCGGUUGAUAAGGAACAGAUUGAAUUUCUAGAAAGUAGAAAAAAGCAAUACUUAAAGGCUGCAAUCCAAGCAAAGAAGAAGAACAAUCUUGAACAAGCCAAAGUGUAUCUAAGAACAGCCAAAAGCUUUGACCCAAAGAUUGAGCUGGCAAAAAAUGGCAAGUUGGUCGACAUUUCCAAGCUGCCUUCCCCUCCAACAGACGAUGAGGGUGACUUUAUUUUUAUACAUCAUGAAGAUGUCAGACUCUCUCAGAAAGCUGAAGAAGUGUAUAUUCAACUCAUCAAGCUGCUGAAAGACCAGCAUGAGAAAUGUAUGCAGUUUUCCAAACAGUUCAUGCAUCUGGGAAACGUAACUGAAACUUCCCGGUUUGAAAAACUGGCUCAGAAUUGCAAAAAAGAUCUGGACAUCUUACAGCUUGCACAAGCCCAGGGACUGGAUCCUCCAAGCCAUCACUUUGAAGAGAGAACCUUUAAAAUUGUCAGGAUAUUUUCUGAACUCAACAGCACAGAGAUGCAUCUUAUCAUUGUCAGAGGAAUAAAUCUACCAGCUCCACCAGGUGUAACACCAAAUGACUUGGAUGCAUUUGUAAAAUUUGAAUUUCAUUAUCCUAACACAGAGCAAGCUCAGAAAAAUAAAACAUCUGUGAUUAAAAACACGAACUGUCCAGAAUAUAAUCAGCUGUUCAAGUUGAACAUUAACCGAAAUCACAGAGGUUUUCGAAGAGCAAUUCAGGCCAAAGGCAUUAAAUUUGAAAUUUUUCACAAAGGGUCCUUUUUCAGGAGCGACAAGCAAGUUGGAAUUGCACACUUGAAACUGGACAAACUGGAAUCUGAAUGUGAAAUCAGAGAAAUCAUUGAGGUUUUGGAUGGCAGAAAGUCCACUGGAGGAAAACUAGAAGUGAAAGUGCGACUCAGAGAACCACUUAGUGAACAAGAUCUUCAAACAAUUACAGAAAACUGGCUAGUCCUUGAGCACUAAUUCCAUCUAAGGUUAGAGUAUCUGAAUUUUUUACGCCAGUGAAGGCAUAUGUUCAGAAAUGUGAAAAGCUGCAGACUGGACUGAGUACAUAGAGCUUCUACAAGCACCAAAGAUGUUCAAUGAAUGCACUACUGAACAUAACAUCUAUUUUCAUAACUAUCAUAUAGUAUGAGUUGGUAAACUUUGUAAGUCUAUUACCAGGAAGGAAGAAAAGUACUGGAGAUCAUGAGUUGUACCUAGGGUAAAAGCUUGCAGAAAGAAUUGACAGACUAGAUUUUAUCCUACUGUCCCCUUUUCCCAAGAACUGCUGCUUGUUCAAAAAGUCCUCUGAGGGUUGACGAACUCUAGUGAACAAACUGCACCACAGUACAAGGAGCUGCAAGGAGGAUGAAGUACCACUACCUCCUCUUGGAUCUAACCCACUGACAGACUGUCCUGCCUUAAAGCCUUGUUGAGACUAAUAUUGUUGGUACCACAUGAAUGUAACUUAAGGUGUACUUAAUGUUCCCUUAUGCAAAAGAAGGGCAUGUUUUCUAAGGUAAUGUCAUUUUAAUAGAUGGAUAGUAUAUUGAAAAUAUCUUGUGGUCCUUGAAUAAAUUCUGCUCUUGCAAACA